UCUCCAUUGGUGAACCAGCGGAGGGAUCAUUACAGGACUCGCAAGACUCCUACAACCCUGUGAACUUAACUAUAAGCACGUUGCUUCGGCGGGUGUCUCGGAGGGGGUUCUCCCUCCCCGAGACGCUAAACCCGCCGGCAGCCUACUAUACUCUGUCUCUUUGCGUUGGCAUCUCGAGUACAAUCAAACAAGUUAAAACUUUCAACAACGGAUCUCUUGGUUCUG
rnacentral:misc_RNA from 1 species